UCGAACGGUAGAUAUCCGUCGGGAUAUUGAGAGUGGCGAACGGGUGACGUAACACGUAGAUGAUCCUACCCUACAAAGUGGGGGACAACCCGAAGGGAAACUUGGGCUAAUACCGCAUGAGUGCAGCGCAAUAAAGCAUUCGUUUAGGGUGGGUUGUUUUUAUGCGUUGCAAGUAAAGGGUCGGCCGUUCGGGCUGUCGUUUGAGGAUGAGUCUGCGUCCUAUUAGUUAGUUGGUGAGGUAAUGGCUCACCAAGGCGAUGAUAGGUAGGCGGCCUUAACGGGUGGCCGCCCACACUGGGAUUGAGAUACGGCCCAGACUCCUACGGGGAGGCAGCAGUCGAGAAUAGUCUACAAUGGACGAAAGUCUGAUAGUGCGACGCCGCGUGAACGAAGAAUCCCUUCGGGGUGUAAAGUUCUUUUUUAAUAUGUGAGCAAUGCUUUUUAUGUGAAUAGCAUGAGAAGAGAGAUAUUAGCAUAUGAAUAAGCAACGGCUAACUCCGUGCCAGCAGCCGC
rnacentral:rRNA from 1 species